AUUGAACGCUGGCGGCAGGCCUAACACAUGCAAGUCGAACGAGUGGCGGACGGGUGAGUAAUGCCUGGGAAUCUGGCUGAUGGAGGGGGAUAACUACGGGAAACUGUCGCUAAUACCGCAUACCAUCGGAUGAGCCCAAGUGGGAUUAGGUAGUUGGUGGGGUAAUGGCCUACCAAGCCGACGAUCCCUAGCUGGUCUGAGAGGAUGACCAGCCACACCGGGACUGAGACACGGCCCGGACUCCUACGGGAGGCAGCAGUGGGGAAUAUUGCGCAAUGGGGGCAACCUGACGCAGCCAUGCCGCGUGAAUGAAGAAGGCCUUCGGGUUGUAAAGUUCUUUCGGUGACGAGGCGUUAAUCACAGAAGAAGCACCGGCUAACUCCGUGCCAGCAGCCGCGGUAAUUC
rnacentral:rRNA from 1 species